UUUUGGUGUUAUCUUGAUAGAGCAUUUAUUUUAUUUAAUUUUAACUUGCUAAUCACAUUUCUAGUAUGCAUGCUAAAGUGAACAUAAGUAUCAUCACAAGUAUGUUCAGCUUAGCAAUAACAUAAAUAUUGAAAAAUUACAAUGUUUUGUUACAUUUAUGUGGUGCCACUGCCUAGCUACUUGCUAAGAAACUUCUGUGUUUUAACCAACAUGUUAUUUUGCAGAAAAGUUGGCAUCUAAUUUUUUAGCCAUUGAAAUGCCUUCCCUGGCUUGCUGUGGAAAAUGUCUUAAUUUAUGGUUUAAGAAGGAUCUGAUUAAUAUCUGACUAGUUGCACAUUUUACAUACCUUGUUUUCUAUGGUAUUUUAGAGUCCAAAGAAGGUCAACUUGGUUGCUGCUCUGGUUCGUGGUAUGCUUGUUAAAGAUGCAUCGAUGCUGUUGGAAUCGACAAUAAAACGAGCAGCAAAAACUGUAUAUCAGGUUAAAGAGUUCCAUAGAAGAGAUGGUUUUGAGGUAGCAAGUGCUGACAAGAUGGCUAAGUCAUGCAUGGUUUAUUUUGAAAUGCAUCUAUCCCUAAGGAAAAAAAUAAUUACAAAAGCUUUUAAUGGUAGUUAUAGUAUCUACAAGGAAACUUUUUGUAACCAGGUCUAUUGCCUUUUUGUUUGAGUGACUGGACAUGCAGGUACAAUAAUUGUUGUUGAAGAUGACAAGGGACCUGAAAGAGGAAUGCCGAGCUUCAAUUCUGAGUUACCCAAUUCCAAUUCAUGGGUUGAGGAUGUUACAAGAGUUUGGGAUCCUUGCUGACCAGUGACUAGGGUUGAGGAUUUUACCAAGAGUUGAAGACCGUUGCUACUAGAAUGUCAAGUUUUGUAGAAGGUACUAAGAUGUAGGCAUGCUAGAUCCUUAUUGCUUGACUGUUGACUAUCCAAGAAUUCUGGUAAUACUAAUUUCAUAUGGCUUAUACUCAUUUCAAGCUUUCUGGUAAUACUCAUUUCAUAAUGGCACUUAAAAUUUUUUCAGUUGGAUGGAAAGGCUACUUGUGUGUUACUGAUUUCAUAUGGCUUAUACUCAAUUGGAUGGAAAGGCUACUUAAAAUUUUUUGUUUUUCUACUCUACUCUAGGUCCAUUCUAGGUUUCUCUUUGACUCCUUGUUUGCUUUUGUGUGCUUUUCAUUGCUUUAAUUAUUGAAUAAUCCUUGAAAAUUUGUCUUGU